rnacentral:lncRNA from 1 species
CUGAUGAUGAUGAUGAUGAGGAUGAUGAGGCUACCGGUUCUGAAGCCGGUAGCGAGGAGGAUUCUGAGCCCUUAGAGGGUUGAGUUUUUGUAUUUUUCAUUUUUAUGUUUAUUUCUUUUGUAGUUUCGGAUUCUGUAUUUUGUACUGUUGGGGUGUUUUGUCCCCCAUGAACAAUUUAAAUUUUCAGUAAUGUUAUUUAUUUAUGUUUUUAAUUUUGUUUGUUUAAUAAAUUUUUG